rnacentral:tRNA from 1 species
UAGCUCAGUUGGUUAGAGCGCAGCAUUCAUAAUGCUGAUGUCGGUGGUUCAAGUCCACC